rnacentral:lncRNA from 10 species
UCUUUCUUUUCCUCUUCCAUCAAAUAUAGAAUCCAGAUUUGGUGGAUUUGACAGGCAAUAGGGCCCAUAGGCCAUAUUAUACUCUUCAGAUAUGAUCAGAUUUAUAGAUGCUCCAUUAUUUUAUGAGCUAUAAAGUGUAACCAGUUAAACCAUAACACAAUGCUUUCUUUAGAAUUUUAUUAUGUUCUUUAUGUACUCAUAUAUGUACAUUAUUAUAUACUUAUUGAAAGAGCUCAGACUUUUUUAGACUUGUAUCAUGGACAAUAGGAGGAAACCAAAUUUGCUAAAAUUCUCUUCUGAAUCCCUUGUCAGAGUCUUUUUUUUUUUUUUUUUUUUGAGACAAAGUUUCACACUGUCACCCAGGCUGGAGUGCAGUAGCGCGAUCUCGGCUCACCGCAACCUCCGCCUCCCGGGUUCAAGCAAUUCUCCUGCCUCAGCCUCCCGAGUAGCUGAGAUUACAGGCACCCACCACCACACCCAGCUAAUUUUUUGUAUUUUUAGUAGAGACAUAGUUUCACCAUGUUGGUCAGGCUAGUCUCGAACUCCUGACCUCAUGAUUCACCCGCCUCAGCCUCCCAAAGUGCUGGGAUUACAGGCAUGGGCCACCGUGCCCGGCCCAGAGUCUUUAAGUGCCUGUUUUUCACACACCGUUGCCUGCUGUGCCAUCAAUAGAACUGAAAAUGCAGCAUUUCUUUUUCUUUCUCUCUCUCUCGCCUCCCUCCCUCCCUUACUCCCUUCCUUCCUUCAGCAUGAUCUCGGCUCACUGCAACCUCCAUCUCCCAGGUUGAAGUAAUUCGCCUGCCUCAGCCACCCAAGUAGCUGGGAUUACAGGCAUGCGGCACCACAUCCGGCUAAUUUUGUAUUUUUAGUAAAGACGGAGUUUCAUCAUGUUGCUCAGGCUGGUCUUGAACUUCUGGGCUCGAGCGAUCCGCCCACCUCAGCCUGCCAAAGUGCUGGGAUUAUAGGCAUGAGCCAUUGCACCCUGGCUAGCAUUUCGUAAGCCAGUACUACACUAUGAUCAUCAGCAUUUUCUCUCUGGGUACCCACUAUGCAACUUUUGAUACUGGAGCUUGAUCUUACCAGGAGGUAAGAUUAAUGGAAGUUUUUGAGACAAAAGACAGGACUCACAUUCCUGUCUCAAAUAGGCAGGCAAUGACACUAAGUCAUGACUGCUAUCUGGCCAACAGCAAUUGUAAGACACCAUUAAUCCUAAAGUGAGAUCAAUUGUAUGCUCUAUCUCAAUAUCAGAGAUGCUAAAAUGUGAAAAUUGAUGAACUGAGACAGUUCUUAUGAGGCCACCUUUUGGGUUAUCCUAAAGGUGAUACCCAAUCUAGCCCAUGAGCAACGGCCCCAGCCUUAUCCACUGACAGGCAUCACUUUAUCACACCAGGUCAGACUGGGCCAAGUGCCUCCUGGACAUUUGGAAUUGGGACUAGUCUCGUGUCAAGAAAAUGUCAACACUAGGCACUGUGGAAUUGACCUCUGCCACCAUGGGGAGGUGUGCACCCAAAGCUGGGCUGCAGGGAGAGGAGGGAGGCUGACACACAGAGAGGGGCCAAGAUAAGCUAUAGAGAAGGCAGGACCUCAGCCUCCCAAGGGCUUUCCAGUUCUGUGGCUGGUGCCUACCUGGAGCUGGGCUGCCCUCUGGCUCCUGCAUCUGAGACAACAGGAAGCCUUACAUCUCCUGCUGGGCCCAGCUAUUCUGGCCUUUUUGGGCUCUCAGAACUUGGAAGCUUCCUUCUCCCCUCUCCAUGAAUGGCGCUUUUAAGGCUUAGGAGAUCAAGUCCAGCAGCUAAGGCAGCCUCCCAAGGGCCAAUGUUGCACACUCAGGCCUUUGAAGCUAGGGCAGUUUCUCCAGCAGGUCAUGCCUAUACCACGGGUCACUGACGUCAGGGAGGCAGCCAGCUCCCCAGGGCAUGAACGAUGGAGCACAUAUUAGCUUCCUAUGGUUGCUGUAACAAAUUAUCACAAAUGAAGUGGCUUAAAACAACACAAACGUAUUAUCUCACAGUUCUGGAGAAUAGAGACCCAAAAUGGGUCUGUAGACCUGCAUUCUAUCUGGAGGCUCUCAGGGAGAAUCUGUUUCCCUGGCUUUUCUAGCUUCUAGAGGCUGUCCGCAUUCAUUGGCUUGUGGCCUCACAUCACUCCAACCCCUGCUUCUGUCGUCACAUUUCCUCUGAUGCCGACAUGCCUGCUCCCUAAGGACCCACCCAGAUAAUCCAGAACCAAUCUCCCCACCUCAAGAUUCUUAAUCCCAUCUGCAAAGUCUUAUUUGUCAUAUGAAUUAACAAUCAUGGGUUCCAGGGACUCGGAAAUGGAUAUCUUGGGGGACCAUUACUCAGCCUACUACUACCCUCAGCACAGAGACUGAAAGAGGGUUCCCCUUAAUGGUAUUUUUCUGUAAUCAGGCCUUUUUCUUUAAGAAUAUUUUAAACAGCAUAACAAAGCACAGCUGACUUUUUUCCCCCAUUUUACAGACAGGGUCUUGUUAUGUUGUUCAGGCUGGACUCAAAACUCCUGGGCUCAAGUGAUCCUCACCUCAGCCUCCCAAGCAGCUGGCACUACGGACAUGCACCACCACGCCCUGCUAGAGCUGGUUUUUUAUACAACUCUAGGGACAAUACCCAUUGCCACUUAUUAAAUGCCUACUGUGUGCCAGGGAGAGAAGGAAAGCAACAUUAUCGGCCCCAUUUAAGGAGGUCACUUGCCCAAGGUAGUCCAAAUGGCCGGUGGCAGGCAGACGAGCUCACAUCUGCCUCCCUUGACAGGCACUGAUGUUGAGGUUGUAUUUCUUCCCUUGGCGUCCAUAACGCAGACCCUAAAGUCUUGUUUGUGUUGGAGAGCUUUGGAGCCUUAAAUUUAGAGGCGCUUCACACAGCUCAUGCCACCUGCAGAAGUACCAGAGAGCCUGGCAUAGGCCAAAGAACUGGCAAAGCCUUCAGUCUCUCCUCACCACCUCAGGAAAUUGAAUCUGUUCUCCCUCCUAGUAACUCACUUAGCCAAAUGACUACACUUGUUGGGCACUAACCCCAUGUCCAAGGGACAACUAUGAGCUGGUCCAGUGAUGGAGGAGGUGGGUGGCAGCUGGGUCACACUCCUGCCACAGAUUUGGUACCCAGAACAGUCAUUAAGGUUUUGUCAAGGGAUGGACAAGCCAGAGAGAGGAGAGAUGGGCCUUCAUGAGGAUAUCAACAAAGUCCCUACAAAAAAGUCGGAGGUAGAUAAAAAUAUUAGGCAGGAAAGAGAUGUAAUGGAUUCAUCCCACUGAGGCAUGAACAAUUAAUUGCCACCUGUCAAUUGUCAAUGGGGAGAAUUCCAUCCACCCAAUCAUUUAAAGCAAGCUGGAACCGGUUACAAUGAGAAUUAGCCAAGGAUGAAAUUUAAAGGAUGCCCGGGGGCAAGUGAUGUAAUGGGUUGCAAAACAAACGUCAGAUAAAAGGCAUGGGCUCAGGGGGCCUGGUGCCAGAGCAGACGGCAUCCUAUAGAGACUAUCUUUUACUCUGGAGAAGCUAGAGCAGUACACACAGUAUUCGACAUUCAGGGGUGGGGCCUGAGAUUCUGUAUUUCCAAUGAACUCCCAGGUGAUGCUGAACAGCUGCCAUCUGUGGGUCAUCUCGAAUAGCAAGGGAUGAGAUGACUCUUAAGAGACAACUCAAGCUGUUCACUGCAGCAAAAAUAAAACGAGUGGGGUGAAUGCAGAUGUCACAGGGCUGUUUGGUGCCGUGGAAAAAUGAAGGUGGGGCUUAUCAUCAAGAAGUCCUUUACACAUCCAUGACUUUCUGUCCAACUCAUAGGAGACUGUGAAGAAAUUACCUUUUCCUUUUUAAAAUGAAGAAACUGAAGUGUAAGAAGAUUGAACACAGCAGGGUCAAAAACAUUAGGAGUAGAUACAGGUGCCCCACACCAUCCUUGACCCCACACACACUUCCAGAAAACAUCAAGCAAGGAGCAGGCAAAGAGCUGUCAUAGGAGUGUGGUUUUUUUAAUACCAUCUGUGCCAAGCAAUAUCAAAGUUGUCCAUACUCUCCAAGUUUGUCCUAUUUUUAAUAGACAAUAUUAAAAAUUUUUUAAGUGUGUGCUGAUAAAGAGACUAGUCACACCUCUGAGGGGAUUUAAAAAUGAGAUUGGAGAAAUGAAUACAGCAGAUGGAACAGAUA